rnacentral:rRNA from 1 species
GCUAGAGUCGUAUUUCCCUGAAGUUCUUGCCUGGUUUCCAACUAAAGCUAAGCAGGAUUGAGCCUAGCCAGUACCUGGAAGGUAGACCUACUGGGGAAAACUUAGGUUUCUGCUGGAU